UGCAGUCGAGCGAGAAGGGGUAGCAAUACCCCGAGUAAAGCGGCGCACGGGUGAGUAACACGUAGGUAACCUACCUCUAAGACCGGGAUAACUCGUCGAAAGAUGGGCUAAUACCAGAUAAGACCACAGUCUCCUCGGAGAUCGGGGUCAAAGGUGGCCUCUGCAUGCAAGCUAUCACUUAGAGAUGGGCCUGCGCACCAUUAGCUAGUUGGUAGGGUAACGGCCUACCAAGGCAAAGAUGGUUAGCUGGUCUGAGAGGAUGACCAGCCACACUGGAACUGAGACACGGUCCAGACUCCUACGGGAGGCAGCAGUGGGGAAUCUUGCGCAAUGGGCGAAAGCCUGACGCAGCAACGCCGUGUGGGUGAUGAAGGCCUUCGGGUCGUAAAGCCCUGUCGGAAGGAACGAAUGUCCCUGGCGUGAACAAUGCCAGGGAGUGACGGUACCUUCAAAGGAAGCACCGGCUAACUCCGUGCCAGCAGCCGCGGUAAUACGGAGGGUGCGAGCGUUGUUCGGAAUCAUUGGGCGUAAAGGGCGUGUAGGUGGUCUGCUAAGUCAUGUGUGAAAGCCCCCAGCUCAACUGGGGAAGUGCGCAUGAAACUGACAGGCUAGAGUACCGAAGAG
rnacentral:rRNA from 1 species